rnacentral:antisense_RNA from 1 species
AGUAACUAAAAAUUUUGAAUGGGUUUAACGUUGGGUUCGUAAUUACUCGUACAGCGCCACCACUUCCAACAUUUGGGUCGAAUAGUCCGCCCCAAAACAUAGCUUUUGCGACUAAUAACCAAGCUCCCACACCAAGGAGAAUCAAGUGAAUUCCCAAAAUAGUGGUCAUCUUGUCUUUAUCUUUCCA